CCAGAAGUUCUAGUCCAGCUGUCGGCUCGCGGCUUCAGACCCUUAGAACCACUUCCGCUUCCACGGUGGCGCAUCGCGGGAGAAGGUGGAUUCGGCUGAGAAUCCCAUUUAGAAGGCCCCUAAUCCAUGAAGGCUUCAGGAGCAGAGAGGAAUGGAGAAGAGAAGAUAGAUCCUUUUUUUUUUUAACAUGCGCCCUUGACCCCCCUCCUCUGCAAGUCCCUGAACCCCUGGAGGGCGGAGGCUCCGUCCUCAUUCCCUACCUCCAGGCCUGGGGUCAGGCAGGAAGUGCUCGGAAAGUGCUUGCAAACUGACGAACGUAUUAACAUCUUCAUCUGAUCAUCUCAAGUUCACUCUUACAGGCACCCCGAGAAGUAGGAACCUAAUAUUUACUGGAUGAGUAAACUGGACCCUCCUGGAGAUGAACCAGUUACUUCUCAUCAGCUGCGGUGGCCGGGCUCUGCGCUGGGGCUACGAGGACGGACCUAUAAGGACCCCUCUGCAGGGCACCUGCGGCGGGGCCCGAGGCUCCCCGUGAAGGAAUGGACGGGCGAUCAAACCCAAAGCUGAGCCAAGAGCGGACAAUAGCUGAACAUCCUGUUUGCAGGAGGAAAGGGAAGCUGGAAGCAGCAGGUCCUCUGGGACUCGGGGAGCUUGAAAGGACCCGGCAGGGGGGACGGAGGAGGCCCCUUUUCUCUGCAACAGCCGACUGCAAGGAAACAUUGCACGCACUUGGUCUCUCAACAAUUGGUGAACUUUCUGCCUUACAACAGUCCUGGUCAGCUGUCCAAGUCUCACGGUGGCAAAAGCGCCCCAAGAAUGUUGUCAUCUCGGCAUCCGAUGGAAGAAGGGGGACAAUCCCAGCUCCCCCCCCCAAACACACACGCACACACAGGUCUUCGGAGCCUCCUGCAGUUCUCGGAACGGAUACAGGGAAGUUUUGGGGGGCAAGGCAAAGUUGCCCGCCUUGCAGAAACAUCUCGGGUGAGCCCCGGGGCCAUCACAGCAAGGGGGUCCUCGGGAAAUACAAGGCCACACGGCCAGACGGGGAUUAG
rnacentral:lncRNA from 1 species